GUGGUACCGGUUCCCGUCCUUCGGGGGGCGACCCGGCGACC
rnacentral:ncRNA from 1 species